rnacentral:tRNA from 1 species
UCCCCGAUAGCUCAGUCGGUAGAGCAGGUGGCUGUUAACCACCGAGUCGCAAGUUCGAGUCUUGCUCGGGGAG